rnacentral:rRNA from 1 species
UGGGGAAUAUUGUGCAAUGGGCGAAAGCCUGACACAGCGACGUCGCGUGAAGGAUGAAGGUCUUUGGAUUGUAAACUUCUGUUAUAUGGGAAGAAAGUCAAUUGGUUAAUACCCAGUUGAGAUGACGGUACCGUAAGAGAAAGCCCCGGCUAACUUCGUGCCAGCAGCCGCGGUAAUACGAGGGGGGCAAGCGUUGUUCGGAUUUACUGGGCGUAAAGGGUGUGUAGGUGGUAUUUUAAGUCGAAUGUGUAAUCUUAUGGCCUAACCAUAUGUUUGCGUUUGAUACUGAAGUACUUGAGGCUGGAAGAGAAGAAUGGAAUUCUCGGAGUAGCGGUGAAAUGCGUAGAUCUCGAGAGGAACACCUGUGGCGAAGGCGGUUCUUUGGUCCAAGUCUGACACUAAGACACGAAAGCGUGGGGAGCAAACA